UGCCUUCAUCACCCUGGCAGUCCAAAGCCCUGAGGCUCCUGCUGGUGCUCCCCAUGCAAGAAGCAGUGCCUUUGGACAGUGUGAACACUCACCAGCAAAGGAAGCUGGAAAAUUCGGGGUAGCCUAACUCUUGCCUUUUGGGGGAAGCUGAAGCAUCACCCUUCAGUCCUGCUUCCUGCUGCAGGCACCGCCUGCCACUCACGUGAAGCACUGGUUUGGUGACAGCCAUGGAGCUGGGACUGUAGGACAUUUACCCCUUUAGAAAAUGGGGUGGCUUUGAUGGAGAGAAUCAGAUGUGCCUUCAGUGCAGCCCUGCUCUGGACAGCUGGUGGUUUGCAGAAGGGCAGAGGUGACAGCAGCAGAGGAGGGGACAGGCUCACAGGUCAGCACUCAGCAAGAAGAUCUGGUACAAGGCACCACCGACCAAGUCUUAAUGAUCUUUCAACAGCUGCUGUGGUUGCCUCUCUGUCCACACAACAGAAAAAUACAAUACAGAAACCUUCUACUUUGACAUUUCCAUCAGGAAUUAACUUCCCUGUAUGCCUGCCCUUUGCUAACUUCCCACUUGUGUUGAGUUUGCUUCAAAGAGUAAACAGGGAGCCGUUCCCAGAAGCACAAGCUCUCUUCAUGAAAUCCACUCUACAAGCUAAAGAGUCUUUGACAACACAGGUGGCAAGGAGGUGGGGAAAAAAGCUUCUUUGCAAGGGUCAUAUUGAUUUUUUAAUAGAAAAGAAACAGAGACAUUGUUGCACUCAAAUUUCUCCAGAGGGCAGGACGCCGGUCUGGAGUUGA
rnacentral:lncRNA from 1 species